AUAUUUGUAAGUACGGUGUCCAGUAGAGGUCGGCGUUUGAAAGCAGCCUGGAAUCGUUGAAGGCACCGGAAACACAGCGAAAAUAAUAGAACUCCCAGAACCAUCGGAACUCCCACCAGGCACAAACAAUCACAGAUUUCAGAAAGGAGUUGAACCUGAGUGGAGAGGAUUGUUGUCUUUGAUUGAGUGGGAUUGUUACUCCGUUACAUACCUGUCCGUAUAAAAAAUAUUCUCACAUAAACCAGAUAGGUGCAGUGAAAUGUGUUUGUUUUUACAGGGUCAGCCAUAGUAGUACGGCACCCCUGGAGCAAAUUAGGGUUAAGUGCCUUGCUCAAAAGCACAUCAACAGAUUUUUCAGCUUUUCGGCUCUCACUGCCCGGUGUGUCCCCUCUCAUUAGCCCACAAUUAUGUCAGAUGGACUCUUAAUAACUCUAAAUGCCACUUAGAGGCUGAUACAAUGUCAUAUUAUUGAAUGCUUAAAACAUAAUAGUGCAUUUGGGCUUUUGUCCAGCAGUAUAAGUAACCUGAGAGAAUACCCUUUGAGUGAAUUAUGAGUUUCAAUUGGACAGAAAGAGAGGAACACUAGGUGAACCCUCACACACCACAUGCACACAAACACCCAUCAGAGACUCAAAACGGAUUAUAAAUGUGUUCAUUUCUGUGUUCUACCCUGAGGGCAGGCUCAAUCUAAUGAGGGAACGUGUUCAUUUUCAAGGUGAACCAAAAACAUGUUGAAUGUUGAAAAAUAAAUGACUUGGAGAACUA